rnacentral:pre_miRNA from 1 species
ACAUAAAUCACCCACAGACCUUGUUAAAAUGCAGAUUCUAAUGCAGCAGAUCUGGUGGACCUAAGGUUCUGCAUUUCUAACAAGCUCCCAGGUGAUACUGAU